GGGAAUGUAGCUCAGUGGUAGAGCCCUAGCUUAGCAUGUGUGAGGACCUGGGUUCAAUCCCCAGUACCUCCA
rnacentral:tRNA from 1 species